rnacentral:rRNA from 1 species
GAUGAACGCUGGCGGCGUGCCUAAUACAUGCAAGUCGAGCGAACAGAUGAGGAGCUUGCUCCUCUUACGUUAGCGGCGGACGGGUGAGUAACACGUGGAUAACCUACCUAUAAGACUGGGAUAACUUCGGGAAACCGGAGCUAAUACCGGAUAAUAUAUUGAACCGCAUGGUUCAAUAGUGAACGACGGUUUUGCUGUCACUUAUAGAUGUAUCCGCGCCGCAUUAGCUAGUUGGUAAGGUAACGGCUUACCAAGGCAACGAUGCGUAGCCGACCUGAGAGGAUGAUCGGCCACACUGGAACUGAGACACGGUCCAGACUCCUACGGGGGGCAGCAGUAGGGAAUAUUCCGCAAAGGGCGAAAGCCUGACGGAGCAACGCCGCGUGAGUGAUGAAGGUCUUCGGAUCGUAAAACUCUGUUAUUAGGGAAGAACAAAUGUGUAAGUAAAUAUGCACGUCUUGACGGUACCUAAUCAGAAAGCCACGGCUAACUACGUG